rnacentral:rRNA from 1 species
CAAAUUUUAAAUCUGCCUGGUCGCACCAGGUCGAAUUGUAAUUUGAAGAAGCGUUUUCGAUAUUUCGGUCUGGUUGAAGCUCUUUGGAACAAGGAAUCAUGGAGGGUGAGAAUCCCGUACAUGAUCAGACCGAUUCAUCACAGAUGCGCUCUCUAAGAGUCGAGUUGUUUGGGAAUGCAGCUCAAAAUGGGUGGUAGACUUCACCUAAGGCUAAAUAUUAGCGAGAGACCGAUAGCGAACAAGUACCGUGAGGGAAAGAUGAAAAGAACUUUGAAAAGAGAGUUAAAUAGUACGUGAAAUUGUUGAAAGGGAAACGAUUGAAGUCAGUCGUGCCAGUUUAGGAAUCAACUCGGUGUGGUUUCGGGUUCGUGAGUUGAGGUAGGGUCAAACCAUCUCUCUUUCGAACUCGGGACUCGUUGGGUGUACUUCCUUGUUGGCAGGUCAACGUCGAUUUUGGGGGUUGUAAAAUAACUGGGGGAAAGUAGCUCCUCUCGGGGAGUGUUAUAGACCCUGGGGGAUGCAGCCCGCGGGAUCGAGGAUUGCAGCAAAUGCUUUUUGGCUUGUCGCCUAUCCGCUGAACGUCGCCCCGCUGGUGACAAUAUUUCUUGACAUUUUGUGGGGUCUUUUCUCUCACCGGUUAGAGCGAUCUA